GCUUUAAAAAGCGGCUGAGUCGGCCUUCAACGUCACUCUAUGGUUGGUCACAGGUAAAGGAAUCCAACUGAAGAGUCCCGAGCAGCCAAAGAAGGAGGAAACGCCCAGAAACGACGCCCGACAACUCCAGACAAAUCAAAGGAAAAACAAUAAGAAAUACUUGCAGAAUGACGGUUUAACUGGAGUUCCAGUCCAGGGAGGGACGAGUCUUUGAAUCCUGGACUUUCUGCACAGACGGUCUGAGAUGUGUGCCGUCUGCAGGAGGCUCUCAUGGGAUGCACCAAUGAUCAGAUCAGCGUCGUCAUUGGACGAUAUCGACGCAAACAUCAACCACCUGCAAAUAACAGCAUGAACCAACGGCAGAAGCCAGUGAUGGUCUACGAGCCUCAUACUGGACAAAAGACAAGCUGUGAUCCAACAGCGGUGCAUUUUUUAAAAUGUUUAAUUCCAUCUAAGGUUGUCUGGGGAUCCAUACACACUGUGUUUAACCCUUUAAACACACUACCACCAUAAAAUACACACCUGUACUGGCAUUUCUAAGCAGAUAUAUGUAGGUAGAUACUAGGUAGGUGGCUGGAUGGAUCCUCUGUUAAACACUAGAGAAAUUUAAGUACCCAGUAGCAUUUUCCAAGACACAACAUGAAACACCCGCUGCACCCCCCACUAUCCCAUGAGUAUUUUUAUCCUUGAAAAACUGGACAAAGAUCAAACAUUUAACCUUUAAGAUUAAAGUCACACUCAGAAAGAUAGAUUUAAAUAUUUGCAGGAAUAAAAGUUAAGCAUGUAAAGUGGUCUGACAUUUAGAGCACACAAUAAUCAGUCGUAUUGCUGCCCUGCAGCGUCUGCAGAGAACGGAUGAGUACCAGAGAGAGGAAGAACAUUCAGCAUGAGUCUGUGAUCAGUGAUCGAUGCAGAAAUCCUAAUCAGGAUUCUUCUGGCUGACACUGACAUUACAGUUAGACUGAUUUUACAUCAUCACACUGAAACACUUCAACAUGGCUCUAAUAGAACAUUCUAAGCACACAGAAAUAACACGCAAUAAUAAACAUCCAAUAAACUGAUGAUGUUUUGAGGUGAUGUGGCAAAAGUAGAACCACAAACACUCAAACAUGAGCCACACAUGACACAAUAAGAGUGUUUGGCACAGUGUUUAACAUGGGUUAUGACAUUUCCAUGACUAUGAGGCAAAAAUCUGAAUAAAAAUGAACUUGAUUGACCUCCCUGUCCAAAAAUAAAGUCUCUUUGACAAGAUUUUCUAUAGGAAAAAAAAAUAAUUUUAUAGUGUUUAUCUUUGUAUGGGGGUUCAUAUUCACAAAUAAACCAAAAAUACAACUGCAGUUAAAUAACAGCACUACAUCCUAUUAUUACAGACUAAAAGAUUAAAGACAGAAGACAGAGCAAAGAUUUGUGAGACCCUGAAAACAUCACUUUAGUUUGGUUUUUGCCUCAUUUAUAUGUGAAGUGUUUUACAUAUGAGUAUAGUUAUAUUCAUGUUUGUCUUCAUGUUUUUAUUGUCAUUCUGUGAUGGAGAAAGCCAAACUACAGACUCAGAAGGACAAAAAUAUCAUCAAAUAUCUGAAUGUUGUGUGCUGAAUUCUGCUUCAGAAUUCUGACUUUUACUGUUCCAGUCAUGACGCACAUCCUAAAACUCUGGAUGUUUCCCCCUUUAGAGGACUUUUCUAUAAGUCAUGUUUCUAUACUCUUGUUGAAAUGUUGUAUAUUUCUAUUUUUUGUAGUCUCAUUAUCAAAUAAAGAUUUUCAGCUGUG